rnacentral:lncRNA from 1 species
GAAUCUAAAUAUUAAUUAACUAAUACACUGUAAGUAUUUCAUAUAGCUAGGGCCUCAUGUAGAAAAAAAUAUUUGAUGCUCCAAUGAUUUUUUUUUUUUUUUUUUUUAGCAAAGAUGCUCCGAUUACAAGAGAAGCAAAUCAAAAUCUAUAAUGAAGGAUUUUGUUAAUAAACAUCAAACUAAUUUGUCAUUAAGCUACAAAACCUAUUCUUAAGUCUCAACUAAACCCAUUAAGCUCAUUAUUGGUAGGGCCGAAUCACAUUGAUGGCUUGCUUUUCUUUCUUAUAAUAAAU